rnacentral:lncRNA from 1 species
CUUAUAUGAACAAAUCAUGUCAUUUUUUUUUUGGUUUACAAAUGCUGCCAAUGAAGAUUAAAUUUUUAUUACAUUAUAAAGUAGUUAAAUUUUUUAGUUUUGUUUCUUACAUACAAAAUAGGAAACAAUGUCUAAAACGCUUGUGUUUAUUUAUGCUAUUACUCUCGUCCUUUCUCUGUUUCUUGUAUCCUGCAACGGUAAAUCAUUCUCCUAAUUCUUUACAAAUUUUGUUUCUUCUUACCUUAUAGUAUUCAAUAUUUCACGCUCACAACAAACAUUCAUUUAUUUGUAUGUCACAGAUUCUGAGUCAAAAAAUAAUAUGAUAGACUCAACUCAUAUCUGCAAUUUUGACUCUGAUUGUCACAGUUUACCAUGUGGCCCCGUUACAACUGGGAGAUGUAUUGAGUAUGGGUGUGAAUGUGUGUUCUAAUUGAAAAAAAAAAUUUUAUGUUGAUUUUAUAUCUAUAAUUUGAUCUUCAAAGUAGCCGUAAUAUCGUUACUUUAUAUUAU